GACGAACGCUGGCGGCGUGCUUAACACAUGCAAGUCGAACGGUGAAGCGCCUUCCUUUUUGGUGGGUGUGGAUGAGUGGCGAACGGGUGAGUAACACGUGAGUAACCUGCCCCCUUCUUCUGGAUAACCGCAUGAAAGUGUGGCUAAUACGGGAUAUUCUGGGUCUGUCGCAUGAUGGGUCUGGGAAAGAUAUUGUUUCGGUGGGGGACGGGCUCGCGGCCUAUCAGCUUGUUGGUGGGGUGAUGGCCUACCAAGGCGGUGACGGGUAGCCGGCCUGAGAGGGUGGACGGUCACACUGGGACUGAGACACGGCCCAGACUCCUACGGGAGGCAGCAGUGGGGAAUAUUGCACAAUGGGCGCAAGCCUGAUGCAGCGACGCCGCGUGAGGGAUGGAGGCCUGCGGGUUGUGGACCUCUUUCGCCAGUGAAGCAGGCCUGCCUCGUUUGUGGGUGGGUUGACGGUAGCUGGAUAAGAAGCGCCGGCUAACUACGUG
rnacentral:rRNA from 1 species